rnacentral:rRNA from 1 species
GACGAACGCUGGCGGCGUGCCUAACACAUGCAAGUCGAACGGAAAGGCCCUGCUUUUGUGGGGUGCUCGAGUGGCGAACGGGUGAGUAACACGUGAGUAACCUGCCCUUGACUUUGGGAUAACUUCAGGAAAAUGGGGCUAAUAUCGGAUAGGAGCUCCUGCUCCAUGUUGGGGGUUGGAAAGUUUCGGCGGUUGGGGAUGGAAUCGCGGGUUAUCAGCCUGUUGGUGGGGUAGGGGUUUACCAAGGCUUUGACGGGUAGCCGGCCUGAGAGGGUGACCGGGCACAUUGGGACUAAGAGACGGACCAGAAUGGUACGGGAGGCAGAAGUGGGGAAUAUUGCAGAAUGAGCGGAAGCCUGAUGCGGCAACGCCGCGUGCGGGAUGCCGGCCUUCGGGGUGUAAACCGCUUUCGCCUGUGACGAAGCGGGAGUGACGGUAAUGGGUAAGGAAGCACCGGCUAACUACGUG